rnacentral:lncRNA from 1 species
CGGGUAGGGAUAACUAAAUUGCAGCAACAGUAAGGUAGGAAACCAGAACCUAUUGCAAUUCAUGGGAUGAUCUGCGGUGGUGGAGAUGAUGGCGGAAUUUGGCGACGAUCUUUUAAGCAAUUGUGGGAAUUGCUUUGGGCCACUGUGGAGGGCUGAUGGAUGUCUAUGGAAGGGCAGCGAGAUGCCAAGAAUGCUGCUCU